rnacentral:rRNA from 1 species
AGUGAACGCUGGCGGUAGGCCUAACACAUGCGAGUCGAACGGCAGCACAGUAAGAGCUUGCUCUUACGGGUGGCGAGUGGCGGACGGGUGAGGAAUACAUCGGAAUCUACUUUUUCGUGGGGGAUAACGUAGGGAAACUUACGCUAAUACCGCAUACGACCUACGGGUGAAAGCAGGGGAUCUUCGGACCUUGCGCGAUUGAAUGAGCCGAUGUCGGAUUAGCUAGUUGGCGGGGUAAAGACCCACCAAGGCGACGAUCCGUAGCUGGUCUGAGAGGAUGAUCAGCCACACUGGAACUGAGACACGGUCCAGAGUCCUACGGGAGGCAGCAGUGGGGAAUAUUGGACAAUGGGCGCAAGCCUGAUCCAGCCAUACCGCGUGGGUGAAGAAGGCCUUCGGGUUGUAAAGCCCUUUUGUUGGGAAAGAAAAGCAGCAGGUUAAUACCCCGCUGUUCUGACGGUACCCAAAGAAUAAGCACCGGCUAACUUCGUG